AGCCCGGGGGCCAGGGAAAUUCCCUGUCCGGAAGGAAGGGGGCCCCGCCCGCCUCACGCGGAAUCUGCGCACUCGGAGUGUCAUCCCUGUACCCAAAUCUCCACGCGACGCAUUUGACCACUCAGCCUUUGAGUUUAGCCACUCUGGACAUUUGACAAACCAGGACGGGCCAGAGUUUGUAUUCCAGUGAAAGAGCUGGGGCAGCCAGAGAAAUGAGUCCCAACCAAAGACCGGAGAAAGUCCUGAGCCCACGGUCUGCCAUCAAGUCCAAAGAAUACAGGCUUCUUCCAUAUACUCAGGUGAUCUUGGAGACAGAGGAUUCUGAAUGAUACUUAUUUCAAAAGGUGGCUCUGCUACUGUAUAAUCUAGCUAGUUCAUUGAUUGACACUUCUGAAGUGGUUGACUGUAUUAAAGAAAUAUGAGAUCCAACUAGGUAUGGUGGAAAUUAUGGUAAAUGUAGAGAAAGCAUGGCUUUGCUAUAUUUUAAAUAUGUGUAUAUUACAUAUAUGUAUGUUACAUACGUUUAUGUUAUGCAUCAAAUGUGAAUAUCAGCAAUCAAUAAUGUCCAAUGAGCACAUAUUAUAGCAUCUGUGUGUUAUUGAACCAUGUAGAUGGACAGAUGAGGGGAACUCUCCACAGAUUCUCUAACAGUUAUAAAUGCAACUAACAAAAAAAUUUUAUAAGUCAUUUACUGGGCAAAUGCAUGAGUGUGUUAUGAUGUCUCUGGAUAGUUUGGUGAAAUCUCUGAGGUUAACAAAGUCAGGAGUUGGGAAGAGAGUCUUUAACAUUCAGCCAACUCUCUACUGGCAAGGUGUCUUAUCUAGCACCCAGCUGCACCAUUAUACAAUAGUACUAACUGGGUUAUUAUUUCAUCCAUGUAGUAAAUAUCUGACAAUCAUUUAUUUAGCACCAACACAGUCAGGCAUUUUUCUGGAAGUGGGAAUGAAGAGAGGUUAAUGGACAUGACCCUUACUCCUUAAUCUACAAAAGGAAAACAGAUAAAUAAUCACAGUGCGGUCCGGUUGUAAUUCUAAUGAGAGUGUACAUAAAUUGCUUUACUUCUUUUUGCCCAGCAGAUCCUAUCAUCAUCCCUAGAAUUACCAGAAAAAGAAGACUCUUUCCCCAAACAGCUGAUAAGUAAGAGCUAAUUGUCCCCAGGCAGCUCAUUUACCACCCUCCUUUCAAGUUUACUAUCUCUCACCACCACACAGGCUAAUAAUACCAUAAUCUCUUUUUUAUGUCUGCCUCAGCAAAGAAAUAAAUAUUUGACAAACUUAUCCAAAGUUUAUUCCUUUACCUUGCUUUCUUUACUAAAUAGACAGUUAAGCCAGAUUCCCAAUCAUCAGAUGUCCUGUGGAUUUUAUAAUCUUGUAGAUAUGCUGGUUGAUAAACACUGUGGUUUUAUUAUUUGAUUUUC